UCCUGUACGUGUAAAUGCCUUCUUGGCUCUGAUCAUCAAUGAAGGAGAUGCUGUAAACAUCGUCGUAAUCUGUGCACCCGCCUCUUUGAUUGGUGAUCAUAGCCGUGAAGAGUUUCCAUGAGCUCCGGA